GAUGAAGAACGUAGUAAAAUGCGAUAAGUAAUGUGAAUUGCAGAAUUCAGUGAAUCAUCGAAUCUUUGAACGCACAUUGCGCCCGCCAGCAUUCUGGCGGGCAUGCCUGUUCGAGCGUCAUUUCAACCCUCGAGCCCCCCCGGGGGCCUCGGUGUUGGGGGACGGCACACCAGCCGCCCCCGAAAUGCAGUGGCGACCUCGCCGCAGCCUCCCCUGCGUAGUAGCACACACCUCGCACCGGAGCGCGGAGACGGUCACGCCGUAAAACGCCCAACUUCUUAGCGUUGACCUCGGAUCAGGUAGGAAUACCCGCUGAACUUAAGCAUAUCAAUAAGCGGAGGA
rnacentral:misc_RNA from 1 species